CAGCAGAAAUGAAUCUGAGUAAUAUCCAUGAGGAUGCAGGUCAAGGAUGUGCUGUGGAGAAGGUUCCCGAACUUUGUAUCUUCACUGGCUCCAAAAGGCUGCCCUAUUUCAUCAAAAGAAACUUGUUUUUCCUAACAAAGCUGGCUUAAUUUUCUAGUGACAUGGCACAGUUAAAGUACUGUAACAAUGACAGAAGUGCACGUUUCCGCCUUCUUUCCUUUCUAUGAAGUCAGAGGAAGAAACAAUAUAAAAUGCAGACAUGCAAACGGGAAGAUUUCUUUGUCUUAAGCUAACGCUAGGAGGGCGCGGCAAGCUUUCCAGCAGCUGCAACUGGGAGUAACUGUGCUGUCUUGUUCUUUUGCCAAAUCCAUUCCUGAAAUAAAAAUGAAAGAGGCCCUGAACCGUCUUAAUCUUUGGACAUGAUGCUGAACACACAAUGCAGAGAGCGCUGUGCUUGGGAAAAUCUCAACUUGUGGCCAGUUUUACCGCUUCAGGCAGCAGUGGCUUUGGGCAAAGUGCCAGUCUGCUCUGAGCCUCUUUCCUUUUCUGCAAAAUGAGAAUAAAAGUCACCGCCUUGCUUACCUCAUAA